GCUCACCAGCACGGUGCCUUGGCCAGUUUGUCAUGUUUUGCCAAUUUGUAGUCUCAGAAUUCUUGCUUUCUUACAGUACAAAGGCUUCUCUGCUGCUAUUCUUAAUUUUAUCCUCUGAGAAACUUAGAGGAGCUGCUUCUGGAUACUUUUGAUCUCUGGGACUGUUAUUUUUUUUGUAGCUAUUCAGGAGGUUUUUGGAUGCAGUGAAUGGAAACAUGCUACUUAUCUGAAGCUAACGGAAUAUAACCACAAUCAUGAUUCACAUGUAUUGAGAAUCCCCCUGUCUUACCUGGUUAUAAGAUACUACUGAUAGAUUGCUUUGUAGACUGUUUGCUACUAUAUCCACAGAGUUGUGUGAAAGUCCAUUCUGAUCUUGCUGCAGCUGGUUGGGGUUUCCCUGCCAAUGUUGCUCUGGGCCUCUGUGUCCGCUGGCAUCGUGGAGGCUGUUGUUGUUGCUGUUGGGGCACUUGCUCUUCUCUGGCGAGGCGAAGGGGUUGUAGUCUCCCUCCAUGCUGCGGUGAGGCUGGGUGUUGAACUCGGCUUGAAAAGAAGAAAGCUGCUGUGUGACGCCGAGGAGGCCUCCAACUUCCACACUCAGGAUCACCCAAAUUACAUCUGCCAAAGGAACGAAAACAAACGGUAUAAUACACAUAGCCAACAAACACCGGGAGGCCAUGACUCUGGACCUGGAAGACAGACAGAAAAAUAUGCUGAAUUGGCAUGAAAUGUCUUCGUGAAAGGUGUGUCCGGUGGAACUGAUUCUCCCUCGCCAAUCGUCACGUCACUCACAAAGGACAUGCACGGCGCGCUGAUGUUGGGACUCUCAAAGUCAUAGUAGGCUCCGAUGGCUGCUUGUAAAUUCCUGUGACAUUAAGAGACAGAAAUCCAGAAGAUCAGUAUUCUCAAUUUACGAGUACAACAUGUGAUUUGUAGAAGACACUCUAUGAUUCAUCUGCAGUAUGCACAGCUAUGACACAUUUGUUAGCUAGUUUAUUUACAACAUUUUCAGCAAGAUAAAACAAGUUAUUUUGUAAAGAUUAAAUUCCAACAUAUCAAGCUCACUUCAACUUUUGGGCUAUCACUGUCAAACAGUGUAAAUCUGUCACCAUUUCCUUAAGCCUAGGGUGAAUUCUUGAUAUUGCUUGCUUAGUCCAAACAAAACCCUAAAAAACAAAUAUAUCCAACAGCUACAAUUAUAUAAAUCCAAGUCCUCCAAACAUAUACAGCAAUUUCACAUGAAGACUUUUGGCAGCUAAAAGAUCAACUAUUAAAAUGUUACAAUUAAUAACAUGUAUGUAUACAAUUAUUUACAUACAUGUUCUAUUCUAUGAAUGUAAUUGUCAACCGUAUUUCUGACAUGUAACAAACAAUAUCAAUAAAUUGUUUUAGCCCUAUACCCAGAAGUUUUA